UGGAGCUGGGGAGAAAGCACAGUUUCACAGUGUGUCUUGUGUGACAUUAGGAUCCCUAGAACCUACUUUAAGAGAGUUGGGUAUGUUUGCCUGCCCAUGUAAUCUCAGGACUAGGAGGUGGGAAUAGAUGGAAAAGGUCUGUUCACCAGCCUAGCCACAGAUCACUGAGAGACCCUCACUCAAGGUUGUCUUGUGGCUUCUAUAGCCAGUACAUGCAUGGAUGCAUGUAUUUAUAUACACAUGCACGCAUGCGCACACACACACACACACACACGGAGCCACAUGAUAUAGGCUAUAGGCUAUAUGUAAGAGAAAUACAUGCUCUUAAUGACUGAUCCCUCACUAUAGCCCCACAAAUGAAUUUAUAUAUGAUAAUGUUAUUUAACUAUCUACUUAUUUUAUCUAAAACUGAAGUUAUAAAUAUGUUUGUAAGAACUCUGGUACCCAUGAAAGACUAUUUAGGAGGGAUGAGAUAAGGAGGCAGAAAGUUCAUGUUCAGUUUAUACUACUGAAUAACAGUGUCUUAGUUGAGAGAAAAGUAUUUUAAAAUUAUGAUGCAUGGUAUCAAGGAAAGAUUCAGAUAAGGCAAAAAUGAAGCAAAUAUGGUUGUUGAAUUGUUAAUAAGAUAUUCUUUGGAUUUAUACAGAGGGAGCUUCCUGCAAUCCCGACUAUCUGAUGACCUGAGAUAAACCACCAUUUUUGUUAAAGUGUCUACUAAAGAAUACUUUAAAAAUGCUAUGAAAAGUGCUUGGAUUAACUUACAGGAUUUUAAACCUUGCUUGUUCAAAUAUACCUGGGUAUGAAAAGCCCAAUGGGCCAAUGUUCAAGUUUGAACCUUAAAGAUUUUUGUUCUAUUGAACUGAGCUAAGUAUCUAGAGCUUCAAUCUAGAGUAAAAGCUACAAAACUUUUAGCACCCAAGAGUGUGUGAAUCUAUAGUUCUGAAUUCAGUUCUGUCUCGAGCACACACCCACAGCCAUGCUUGUUUGUACACACUGCAGUUUUAUCUGGACUCUCCUUCCAGUCUCAGAACUUUUCUCAGGAAGAUUGACUUUUCAACUAAUACACCAGAACUCCAGCAGUCAGCAUGUAAAUUCCAUGUAUGAACUAAUAGGGAUGUAAGAGAGGGAAGAGAAAUAUAGACAUAUCUACAAGUCCAUCAGAAUUCUAACUGCCUAAAAACAGUCUAGUCUCUCUUUCAAAAUGUUUAACAGCAGUGUUACUGGGUGAUUACUAACCUUUAACUUUUCCCCAUCUUUCAACACAAUUCAGCAAACACAGAAAGAUGAUGAUACAGUGAGGACGCUCAGUACAAUGCUCCAUGAUUAUUUACUGAAUGAGUUAAGCUGGUCCUCAAUACAGCUGACCAUUGGAAGAACUAACCAAGCAAAGUUCUUGCAGCUCAUGCUUUGCUAGGGACAGGUCCAGAGCACAUUUAAUAGUGUCUCUAUGCAGAGCUUCUAAGGUUUGGCCAAGUGGAAGAAUAUGCCUACAAAUUGGCCUGUGCAUGGUUCUUCUAUUUAGCUAGAUGACUGCACUUUCAUUCUGCAAGGGUUUAAGUGAUGAAGAAGAAAAUUUAAACGUGAGCUUGAAGAAGAAUGAGAAAAUUGCUAUGUUAAAACUUCGUGAUUUAAUGCUUUGAUGACCUGUGUCCUGAACAGGAGCUAUGAGACAGAGAUGGAUGACCAAACCCUCUGGUUCUUCCUAUGCACUGUGAGUUAUACUUAGUGCACUACGGCAAGUCAGGACCAUCAUCUGCAACAAUGACUUGGAAUGCAGCCAGCCCGGUGCAUAGAUUGCGACACUGCAGUUCUGAAGAUAAGAAGAGGUGACAAUGGAAUACCUGAGCAUAGGUAGUUUGAUGAGGUGAUAUGGAGACAGUCACAAGCCGGGAGGAUAUACACACCUCUACAGUAUGCUGCGGGACCGUGUCAGUGGGCACUGACACGGAGAAAAAUGGACUGCUGGGAACAGAAGGAGUCUGGCAGACUGCUUGGACAUGGCACAGUCAGAGAAAGCAGCCUCAUGUCAAGGCAAACUAUCAAGCAAUCCUGAUGAAGAGUAGACUCCCAGAAUCCUGGCUUCUUAGCCCUCCAUCCUAAGCCAAGAGAAACAAGGCAAUCGCCAUGCUUACAUUGGAGAAAGAAAGCAGGCACGUGCCAUCGGAGUCAGAUGAGGUGGCUUUAUAUUGAUGUAUGUCUCUGUAGAUGGGGCCCUGCAGUUAGUUUUUAGCAAGUUUUGUUGUCCUGUGGGCAGUGGUAAUGGACCUGGCUAUAUCUGCAGGCUUCACACGUAGGCACACUGAUAAACACCAAUAGAGUUUUUGCUCCUAAUAACGCCUAAAAUUCCUCUAUGUGACAGUGCACAGACUGUUCGAUAUAUGCACUAUGGUAUACUCUGUUAAUAAAAUGUCUUAAUAUAAGUUUUCAGGAAGAGUACUUUUCCAGCAUUCAAUUAUUUCUAUGAUUACUGGCAAAGGAAAACACUGCAGAGGGCUGUAUUUACGAACUAAAUCACCAAGGAGGUUAGUGACGGCUUGCAGGCUUAGUCAGAUGAGUCUUGUAAUUUUUCAGAUGUUGCUGCUUAAAUCACAGUGUUUUUAAGAGGCUCAAAAGUGAUGUUAGAUAUAGGCGUGACUUGUAAUCCAUCAUCACCACACACCCAUAGAACAAGCUUUAAAGGGUAAUCAAGAGGGCUUUCCACAAGUGUUCAUGGCAGAAUUACUAUACUCUCGCUUCUACUCUUCUGGGCUUUAAAAGACUAUGAUAUGCUUCAUGUACAAUCACUUAAACUAAGGCAAAUAAAAAGUGGCUUUAAUGAUAAGUUACCCAGCUGCAUUUCCAUUAAGGGAACAAAGGGGUACCCCAACACCAUGGCUGACUCCUUAUUUAUAGCUUCCGGAAUGUCAUCUUCCUACUCAAAGCUAAAAUCUUCCCUGGUUAGCUGAUUUAGACCCUGAUGCAUCUGAAAAUGACAAGACUUACAUGACUAAGCCUACAAGCCUUUUGUAACUCUCCUGGCGAUUUAGUUCAUGGAAUACUGAACAGUAAGGCUGGCCAUCCUUUAUUAACUGCAGUGACUACAAAGGACACAGCAGUGGCUUUGCUCUGCACCUUCAGAGAGCCAACACCGCCUUUCUAGCCCAUCACUGCUUCAUGUCGAUAAGCAAAACCCCAGCAAGAACUCUGAACAGAGAAGUAACUCACUUGUUCCUCCUUCAGAGCCUGGUUUUGUUUGAUUUCAUAGUCAGAAGGAGAGCAGGAAGAGGCGACUAAACAAAGUUUCCUCCUUUCCUAAUGUUAUUUCGUUUUUAAUCAAAGUUCCUGUCCCAGUGAAGUCAUCUUCAUGUGUUUCCUCCUUAAUUUUGUUUCCCUUCCCAUCCGCGUGGAAUUGGUAAUGCACUCAACUGUGAGUUAUUGACUCUCAUCUUUCAAAAUGUCUGCCGCAGUGAGUGGAGUCCCUCCUGUCAUUACUCUUGCUGCAGCCAUUAGAUGUUCAGCUCUGGUGAAUUAAACACAAGGAGCCACAUGAGAGAACACUCUGUUUCCUGGUAGAGGUGUCAGUCUGAAUUGGGGACACCAGCUAUCCGGACAGUGUGCAAAGCAGAUGGCCAUCAAUAAAGGAAGCUGUGCUUUACCUGUUUCUUUUGAUGACCACCUGCAAACGGGGGAUCUUCCUGAGAGGAGACAGAUAAAGGAUGUGAAAUUUCAAAGAGCAGCGGAUGACUGAAUUUGAAAUGAGAUUCCCAUCCAAAGUGUCAGGGCAAUUGGCAGAAAUGCGACUUGGAAGACAUCUGCAGAUUGCAGUUUAUAAAUCUUGCAAUUGCAGAGUAUCGAGGCACAUGUCCCGUAGAUAGAAGGAUCCACCAGACUCUUCUUAAAAUUCCUCUGGGUCAGAACCAAUGGAGAAUCACCCAGGGUUUAGGACCCCUUUCUGCUGUUACCCACUUUUGCCCCCUUCCUUGAACAUGGAUGCUUGGUAUCCUAUCCUUUAAAAUCUGUUUUCUCCUGGUUGUUUACCCUGGAUAACACUGUGGAUGUUAGUAUAAAUAACAUUUACCAGAGCUACAAACUUUAAUGUUUUAAUGUUCGCUUAGUUUAUUUUUAAACGCCAACAGAAAGUGUUCUGGCUAGUUUUUUUGUUAGCUUGGAAACAGCUUUAGUCAACUGAGGAGAAGGAACCCCAAUUGAGAAACUGCCUCCAAGUAAGGCUCUAGGCAGGCCAUUCUUAUAUUUUUGGUUGUGAGCCUAGCCUUUAACGGCUGAGCCAUCUCUCCAGCCCCAUUAGGAUAUUUUCUUAAUUAGUGAUUUGGGAGGGGGCAAGCCUGUUGUGGAUUUGGCCUUCCUUACGCUGGUGGUCCUGAGUACUAUAAGAAAGCAGGUCUAGCAAGCCACAAGGAACAAGCCAGUAAGCAGAACUACUCCAUAGCCUGUGAAUCAGCUCCUGCCUCCAGGUUCCUUCUUGAUUUGACUUCCUGUCUUGGCUUCCCUCAGUAGAUUGUCAUUCAGGAUAUAUAACCAAAUAAAUAUUUUCUUCUUCAAGUUGCUUUAGGGCAUGAUGUUUUUGUCAUCAUCAUCAUCAGAUUAUUAUUAUUAUUAUUAUUAUGAUUAUGAUUAUUAUAGUUUUUGGAGACAGGGUAGCACUGGCUCUCCUAGAACUCACUCUGUAGACCAGGUUAAUCCCUGAGUUCUGGGAUUAAAGGUGUGCACCACCACUGUUGGGCUCACCACAGCAUUAUUAACCCUAAGACAGGAAGCUUAUUUUUCUAACUGAAUUAAAAAACUUAGCCUAGUUUGAUUAAUGAGAAAUAAUAUAAUUUCACUCUGACUCCAGAAAUCAUGCACACACACACACAUCUGACUCCAGAAAUCAUACACACACACACACACACACACACACACACACACACACACACACACACACACACACAGUGGGAGCCCUUUUAGAAGUUAGACCUGUAAUGGACUACUAGAAAUGGAAGACUAAUUUGUUUUGAAUACCAUCUUGGGAAGGAAUGAUGAGAAAGUAUUUGUUGCUAAAUAAGAAGUGAGCAGUAACAUUUUACUGUACAAAGUCCUGCUAGCUUGCCAAAACUGACACAGUAAACAAUUCAAUCACUCAUCAAGCAGCGUAAGGAGAGGGCAUCGUCACCAGAUUGCUGCACAUAAUUUGAUGGAUAGUCUAGGUAUUCAUUUGCCAAACAAAUGCCUGGUAAGGCAAUAUCUUAGUCCAUAAGGAUAAAAUUCUCAGGUAAUCUCAACAGGUCUUGUCUUUCAUGGUGCUUAGUCUAAUCAUUUAAGCAAUUUAAUGAUUGCCAUGAUCAAAUCAUGUUUUUAAAGAAAAACAUUCAGUAUUUGAAAUAAAAGUUUGACCUGAUAUGAUUGUUCAGUAGGUGAAAGGGUUUGCUGUUAAACCUGCUGACCUGAGUUGGCCCCUUGUAUUUCAUGGUAGAAAAGCAAAGCCAACUUCACAAAGCUGUCCUUUGAUCUCUCGCCACUGCACCCACAGAUAACUGUUGCCUUUGGUUCUAAUAUGUACAGGACUCAUUCAAUGGAGGUGUGGUGGCUUGAGUAUGCUUGGCUCAGGGAGGUGUGGCCUUGUCAGAACAGGUGUGGCCUUGUUGUAUGAAGUGUGGCACUUUAAAGGGUGGGCUGUGAGACUCUCUUUCUAGCUCUCUGGAGGCCAGUCAUUCCCUGUUUGCUUUUGAAACAAGAUGUAGAACUGUCAGCUCCUCCUGCAUCAUGCCGGCUUAGGCACUGCCAUGCUUCUGCCUUGAUGAUAACAGGUUGAACCUCUAAACCCAUAAGCCAGCCCUGAUAAAAUGUUGUCCCUUACAAAAGUUGCCUAUGUUAUGGUGUCUCUUCAUAGCAAUGAAAUUCUAACUACAACAGGAUUGUGCAAUAAAAGAAAUCUCCCUCUCUCUCUCUCCCACUCUCCCUCUUUCUCUCCCUGCCUCUUCUCUUCACUCUUUUCUCUUCUUUCUCUUGCCUCUUCUCCUUGUCUCGUUCUCCCAUUAAAUCUCUCCACAUGGAAAAAAAAAUCUCCACAGUGUUAGCCAUUUCAGUUCAGUAGAGAGCUCCUAACUUGCAAGCAAUUCUCAUGGUGGUCCCUGCUAAUAAAGAGAAUGCUACCCAAUUUCAGAAUCUUGCUGAGGUUAGACCAUUUAACCAACAGGAUAAAAAGUAAUUUCCUUGUGAAUUCCCUAUUUCUCUUCCUGCUUUGGAAGCAAAGGAUUUCACAUUCUAAACAGCAUCUGAACACUCAUUGCCUAGUUCUACGCUUCUUUGAUUAGCAUUCCUUUUGAACUCAUACUAAUUAAGAAUUAAUCUUAUUGACAUGGGGAACCUCUACGAAGUGACAUGCUUUUCUUAUUCCAUCAACCUUCCAUUACUGUGCUUUCAUUGCUAUAUUCAACCAUGUGCUAAACUUCCCGGAAAUAAUUUGUGUGAAUGGCCAAUAAGACAGGAGGAUGAAGUAUUUUAUCCCUUCAAAUACUGUCACUCUAAUCCUCUGAAGAUCCUUUCUGGUCCUGAGGGUGGCAGUGUGCUGCAUUGAAUUGCUCUCUAGAGAUGAAGCCCUCACUAUCCCAUCUGCCAAGCACAUUGGCAGCAGUGGUUCAAAGAAAAGAGCCCCUCUGCUGGCAUUGUCUAUGAGGGAAGGAACUGCCUUCUCCAAGGUAUGCCUCCUCUCCAUGGCUGCAGGUUUCCACCCAGUGACUGGUAACUGUGGGGCAGGAGGACCAGAUCCCCUUUCCAAGUUUUAGGACUCCUCUUAUGAGCUAUCUGGGUCAAAAGUGACAAGAUGAGGCUCCUGCCUUGAGACAGGUUUGCUAAUGAGCUCUCCCUCUCUUGAACAUUGCUUCUCUUACUAUCUUACUACUGCCAAUUCCCAAACGCUGUCCCAAACUCUGCGUUCAUAGGCUCCCUAGGAGUCUGUCUUCAGUGAUAUUAGUAAAGACUGCAAUUAGACUAUUACCUGUUGUUUAAUAUUGAAACACGCUUUUUAAUCACUCAAUAGAGAAACCAAUUUUAUAAACCAAAUACUCCAAUUUGACAAAAUUCAAUGUUACGUUUAACACAGAAUAUGUAUUUGAGUUACUUGGGUCAACAACACAUGUGAUCCUUUUUCCAAAUGCUACACACAUAUUUUGGAAUAGGAAGGAGCUAACAUAAUUUAUAAAGAGAAGAAUUCAUGUAAGAUAUGAUCACAAUAAACAUUGCUAACUUUUGUAUGAAUAAACAUUUGUCCUCUCUCCAUUAAA